rnacentral:rRNA from 1 species
AAUGGAUUAGUGGCGAACGGGUGAGGAACACGUGAGAAACCUGCCUUUCAUUCUGGGAUAACGCUUCGAAAGGAGUGCUAAUACCGGAUACCAGCACGGAGGACAUCCUCUGUGCUUGAAAGUUUUUCGGUUAGGGAUGGGCUCGCGGCCUAUCAGCUUGUUGGUGAGGUAAAAGCUCACCAAGGCGACGACGGGUAUCCGGCCUGAGAGGGCGACCGGACACACUGGGACUGAGACACGGCCCAGACUCC